GUGAAUCAUCGAAUCUUUGAACGCACAUUGCGCCCGCCAGCAUUCUGGCGGGCAUGCCUGUCCGAGCGUCAUUUCAACCCUCAAGCACUGCUUGGUGUUGGGGCGCUACGCGCUGAGCGUAGGCCCCGAAAAUCAGUGGCGGAACCGCAGUGGCUCCGGGCGUAGUAGCAACACCUCGCCCUGGACGCACGGCGCGCUCCGGCCGUUAAACCCCCCAACUAUACAGAAGGUUGACCUCGGAUCAGGUAGGAAUACCCGCUGAACUUAAGCAUAUCAAUAAGCGGAGGA
rnacentral:misc_RNA from 1 species